GUGGGGAAUCUUGCGCAAUGGGCGAAAGCCUGACGCAGCCAUGCCGCGUGAAUGAUGAAGGUCUUAGGAUUGUAAAAUUCUUUCACCGGGGACGAUAAUGACGGUACCCGGAGAAGAAGCCCCGGCUAACUUCGUGCCAGCAGCCGCGGUAAUACGAAGGGGGCUAGCGUUGCUCGGAAUUACUGGGCGUAAAGGGCGCGUAGGCGGACAGUUUAGUCAGAGGUGAAAGCCCAGGGCUCAACCUUGGAAUUGCCUUUGAUACUGGCUGUCUUGAGUACGGGAGAGGUGAGUGGAACUCCGAGUGUAGAGGUGAAAUUCGUAGAUAUUCGGAAGAACACCAGUGGCGAAGGCGACUCACUGGCCCAAUACUGACGCUGAGGCGCGAAAGCGUGGGGAGCAAACAGGAUUAGAUACCCUGGUAGUCC
rnacentral:rRNA from 1 species